rnacentral:rRNA from 1 species
GAUGAACGCUGGCGGCGUGCUUAACACAUGCAAGUCGAACGGAAGGACGCUGCUUUUGUGUGGUGCUCGAGUGGCGAGCGGGUGAGUAACACAUGAGUAUCCUGCCCUUGACUUUGGGAUAACUUCAGGAGACUGCGGCUAAUACCGGCUAGGAGAUCCUGCUGCAUGGGGGUGUUUGGAAAUUUUCGGCGGUUGGGGAUGUACGCGCGGCUUAUCAGCUUGUUGGUGGGGUAGUGGCUUACCAGGGCUUUGACGGAUAGCCGGCCUGAGAGGGUGACCGGGCACAAUGGGCCUGAGAUACGGCGCAGUCGGCUAUGGGAGGCAGCAGUCGGGAGUCUUGCACAACGGGGCGGCGUGUGAUGCAGAGAUGUUGGGUGCGGGAUGCCGUCUUUCUGGGUGUAAACCGCUGUAGCCUGUGACGAAGCGGGAGUGACGGUAAUGGGUAAAGAAGCACCGGCUAACUACGUG